UACGGGGGGGGUAAGCGUUGUUCGGAAUUACUGGGCGUAAAGGGCUCGUAGGCGGCCAACUAAGUCAUACGUGAAAUCCCUCAGCUUAACUGGGGAACUGCGUGUGAUACUGGAUGGCUUGGAUUUGGGAGAGGGAUGCGGAAUUCCAGGUGUAGCGGUGAAAUGCGUAGAUAUCAGGAGGAACACCGGUGGCGAAGGCGGAUCUCUGGACCAGUUCUGACACUGAUGAGCGAAAGCCAGGGGAGCAAACAGG
rnacentral:rRNA from 1 species